UACGUAGGGUCCGAGCGUUGUCCGGAAUUACUGGGCGUAAAGAGCUCGUAGGUGGUUUGUCGCGUUGUUCGUGAAAACUCACAGCUUAACUGUGGGCGUGCGGGCGAUACGGGCAGACUUGAGUACUGCAGGGGGACGUGGAAUUCCUGGUGUAGCGGUGAAAUGCGCAGAUAUCAGGAGGAACACCGAUGGCGAAGGCAGGUCUCUGGGCAUUAACUGACGCUGAGGAGCGAAAGCAUGGGGAGCGAACAGG
rnacentral:rRNA from 1 species